GUGUCUUUUGCGUACUUCUUGUUUCCUGGGUGGGCUCGCCCGCCCUCAGGACCAACCACAAACCUUUUGCAAUAGCAAUCAGCGUCAGUAACAACGUAAUUAAUUACAACUUUCAACAACGGAUCUCUUGGUUCUGGCAUCGAUGAAGAACGCAGCGAAAUGCGAUACGUAGUGUGAAUUGCAGAAUUCAGUGAAUCAUCGAAUCUUUGAACGCACAUUGCGCCCUUUGGUAUUCCAAAGGGCAUGCCUGUUCGAGCGUCAUUUGUACCCUCAAGCUUUGCUUGGUGUUGGGCGUCUUUUGUCUCCAGUUCGCUGGAGACUCGCCUUAAAGUCAUUGGCAGCCGGCCUACUGGUUUCGGAGCGCAGCACAAGUCGCGCUCUUUGCCAGCCAAGGUCAGCGUCCAGCAAGCCUUUUUUUCAACCUUUGACCUCGGAUCAGGUAGGGAUACCCGCUGAACUUAAGCAUAUCAAUAAGCGGAGGA
rnacentral:rRNA from 1 species